CUUGUAUUUCUCUCUCUCCUGCCCCCAAUUUUUUUCCAAUAUUUUUAUUAGUUUCUACAUAGAAGAAUACGGAGUACAAGAAAGUAUAUAAAAGGAGACUCAUGUAAGGAAGGUGGAUAGUCAACGUUUUUUUAGGUUUUGGGAGGGACAACAGUAUCACUCAAAUUCGCAAGCCAAAGUAAGAGGUGUUUCCAUUUUUAUAGACUCAUCGACUUCUUUUAUACAUCAUGAAACAAUUUCGGAUCCACAAGGUAAGCCAUCUUCUGUGGUCAGUCCCGCCAAUCCUGGGCAAUGGGAAUGGACGGACGCGGGCCCCACCGGCUGUCGCUAUUAAACGCUGUCAUGGGAUUUCUAGCGUUUCUCCUGGUGCGUCUAAAGGGGUUGUCCCCCAGACCUUCUUUUAUCCUUACUCACAGGGUCUCAGAUGUCAAUCAGGUUGGAAUGAUGCCAUCCCUCAACCAGCCCACUUUGUUCA